UACGGGGGGUGCAAGCGUUAUCCGGAAUUAUUGGGCGUAAAGCGUUUGUAGGCGGGCGAGUGUGUUUAAUGUUAAAUCUUAAAGCUCAACUUUGAAAUUGCGUUAAAAACUGCUUGUCUUGAGUAUGGUAGGGGUAAAGGGAAUUCCCAGUGUAGCGGUGAAAUGCGUAGAUAUUGGGAAGAACACUAAACAGCGAAGGCACUUUACUAGGCUAAUACUGACGCUGAGAAACGAAAGGUAAGGUAGCGAAACGGAUUAGAUACCCGUGUAGUCUUACCCGUAAACUAUGGACACUAAACGGUAAAUUUUUAAUUUACUGUUAAAGCUAACGCGUUAAGUGUCCCGCCUGGGGAGUAUGCUUGCAAAAGUGAAACUCAAAGGAAUUGACGGGGGCCCGCACAAGCGGUGGAGCAUGUGGUUUAAUUCGACGGUACACGAAGAACCUUACCAGGAUUUGACAUGCUAGAUAGUUGCUUGAAAGAGUAACGUGCCGUAAGGAAUCUAGACACAGGUGGUGCAUGGCUGUCGUCAGUUCGUGUUGUGAAAUGUUGGGUUAAGUCCCGCAACGAACGCAACCCUUGUCUUUAGUUAUUUUCUAAAGAGACUGCCUGUAAUAAACAGGAGGAAGGUAAGGAUGAGGUCAAGUCAUCAUGCCCCUUAUGUCCUGGGCUACACACGUGCUACAAUGGGAAAGACAAUGGGCUGCAAAUCUGUAAAUUUAAGCAAAUCUCUUAAACUUUCUCGUAGUUCGGAUUGUGGGCUGCAACUCGCCCACAUGAAGUUGGAAUCGCUAGUAAUCGCCAGUCAGCUAUAUGGCGGUGAAUCCGUUCCCGGGCCU
rnacentral:rRNA from 1 species